rnacentral:rRNA from 1 species
GUAGGGAAUAUUGGACAAUGGGGGCAACCCUGAUCCAGCGACGCCGCGUGAGUGAUGAAGGCCUUCGGGUCGUAAAGCUCUGUUGCAGGGGAAGAACACAAUGACGGUACCCUGCUAGAAAGGAUCGGCUAACUUCGUGCCAGCAGCCGCGGUAAGACGAGGGAUCCUAGCGUUGUUCGGAAUUAUUGGGCGUAAAGUGGGUGCAGGUGGCUUGGUAAGUCAGAUGUGAAAGCCUGGGGCUUAACCCCAGAAGUGCAUUUGAUACUGCUGAGCUUGAGUGCUGGAGAGGCUAUUAGAAUUCCUGGUGUAGUGGUGAAAUACGUAGAUAUCAGGAGGAAUACCGGAGGCGAAGGCGGAUAGCUGGCCAGACACUGACACUCAGACCCGAAAGCGUGGGGAUCAAACAGGAUUAGAAACCCCAGUAGUCC